AAAAAAAAGUACACAUGUCAACAAACCCCCCCCCUUCCACAUAUCAUAAGAAGAGAGAAAAGUCUACUUUAUAUAUUUAAAAUAUAUUUAUAUUUUUUUUACUUAUUUCUUUAUUCGUUUUGCAAUUUUUUGAACAAUAAAAUAGAUUAUCAAACUUCAAAUGAUGAUGGUUAGUGUGAUAAGGAUUUGAUAGUGCAUAAUUAGAAAAUAGUGAACCAAAUUGAAAUAAUCUAAAAGAAAAUGAUCUAAAAUAUAAAAAGACAAAAAAGAGGACACAUGUCAACAAACCCCC
rnacentral:lncRNA from 1 species